rnacentral:rRNA from 1 species
UACAGAGGUCUCAAGCGUUGUUCGGAUUCAUUGGGCGUAAAGGGUGCGUAGGCGGCGCGGUAAGUCGGGUGUGAAAUCUCGGAGCUUAACUCCGAAACUGCAUUCGAUACUGCCGUGCUUGAGGACUGGAGAGGAGACUGGAAUUUACGGUGUAGCGGUGAAAUGCGUAGAUAUUGGGAAGAACACCGGUGGCGAAGGCGGCCAUCUGGACCGGAACUGACGCUGAGGCGCGAAAGCCAGGGGAGCGAAUGGG